CACUUAACCAAAAAAAUAACUUUGGUUCUUCCUCUUUGCAUCUUUCACUUCCCCGGCGAGGUAGAGGUCGAAUCGCAUUAAUUUUUUCGUCAAAUUGACAAUAACAACCCUAAUCGCCACCGCUGCUCCUUGUUUUGUUCGCCGGCGCAGUCGAAGCUUUGUUACAACCGCUGCUGCUCUCUGUCGAUUUCACCACAAACAUAAUCCGGCGAAUCUAAAAGCCACGGAACCGAAACGAGGAGUUUGUUGUUGGUCUGAUUUGAUCUUGCUCCUCAAUUGUUUCGGUGGUCCUCAAAAUAAUCGGUGGCUUUUAGUUUCAUAAAUCUGCUACCGAGCACUGUGUUUUAUCAAACCGGUGACUGAAAUUUCCGGCGGUGCUGUUUACCUUCCAGCAAGAAGUUCUUUCUUCCAUUGUUCUCAAAUUUAGUCCUUUGAUCUUGGUCCAAUAUUGCUUUGGUGGUUCUCAAAAUUAACGGUGGAUUCAAUUUUCAGUGGGUUCAAUUUUCUGUGGCUUCAAUUUUCAUUUUUCUGGAAUGGCAUCCUCGAGUACAGUCUCAAAAUAUCCUCCUCGCCUCUAUGAAGAAGGAAGAUCUCCCUUGCAAAACAGGAGCAUGAACCACAAUUGCUAUUUGUCAAAAAUUGGGAAAAUGAAAGAGGGUUUAGUCUUGGAUGUUGAUGUUCAUAUAUUUUACCAUGUUUUCCUUUAGUUUAU